rnacentral:rRNA from 1 species
AGUGGCAAACGGGUGAGUAACGCGUGGGUGAUCUGCCUCUGAGUGGGGGAUAACGUUCCGAAAGGGACGCUAAUACCGCAUGACAUCCUGUUCUUGGAUGAAUGGUGAUCGAAGCUGGGGACCGCAAGGCCUGGCGCUUGGAGAGGAGCCCGCGUCCGAUUAGCUAGUUGGUGGGGUAAUGGCCUACCAAGGCGACGAUCGGUAGCCGGCCUGAGAGGGCGGACGGCCACACUGGGACUGAGACACGGCCCAGACUCCUACGGGAGGCAGCAGUGGGGAAUUGUUCGCAAUGGGCGCAAGCCUGACGACGCAACGCCGCGUGGGGGAUGAAGGUCUUCGGAUUGUAAACCCCUGUUGGGUGGGACGAACAUCUUCCUGGUGAACAGCCAGGGAGACUGACGGUACCACCUGAGGAAGCCCCGGCUAACUCUGUGCCAGCAGCCGCGGUAAUACAGAGGGGGCAAGCGUUGUUCGGAAUUACUGGGCGUAAAGGGCGCGUAGGCGGCCUGUUAAGUCAGACGUGAAAUCCCUCGGCUCAACCGGGGAACUGCGUCUGAUACUGGCGGGCUUGAAUUCGGGAGAGGGAUGUGGAAUUCCAGGUGUAGCGGUGAAAUGCGUAGAUAUCUGGAGGAACACCGGUGGCGAAGGCGGCAUCCUGGACCGACAUUGACGCUGAGGCGCGAAAGCCAGGGGAGCAAAC